AAAUUGAGCCAAAUGGGCCGAGCCGGUUGAACCGGGCCCAAACCAGACCCGCGGGCCCAACCAGCCCAGUAUAUAAAUGAGCUAAAGCUCAUUUUCUGCCUUAGAACACAACAGAAGCAGCGUAAAUGCAUGGAGAAGAAGAGAAUGAAUUCCAAAACCUAGCUUGAUCUUCUUUCUUUGAUAACUUUUGAUCCGGAGCUCCGAUUGACGAGCCGUUUGCGGCCACGCGUCGGGCCCGUUGAGUUCUUCAAUUCUAUUCAAAUAAAACAGGGUCCACUAGACUUGAUUUCUUGUGGGUAUUGCCCAAGAAUCAGUGGGUGAAGGUAGUGUGUAUGUGAAUGUUGAUGCUUGUUGGAGGCUUGUUGGUGAUCAAGCUUGGUUUGGGGCUGUUUGAUUGAGUUUGAGGGGCUGUAAUUUUGAGUUGUGAGGCUGCCUUGGGUGAAUUAAGUGAUCGGCCAAGAUGCAGGUCGAGAGGCUCCUCGCUAGACGUCUGGAUCUUGGGAAGCGAAGUAGUCCUUGGGUGUAUUUUGGUUUUUUGGUUGUAUAUAUGUAUAUAUUUGUUUAGCUUACUCUCCAAGUAACUUGUGUAUGCUGCUCCUCUUAGAGGUUGAGGGAGAGAUAGGAGUU